GUCUGUGUGGUGUAGUGGUAUCGUUAUUGACUUUAAUUGUUUAAGGUUUGGUUCGAGUCCUCGUACAGAUA